rnacentral:lncRNA from 1 species
CCCUUUUGGUCAUAUCCUAGAAAUAAUGGACCAACCCCUAAGAUGUAUUUUGGAACCAAAUAUAUGUCCUUUAAAAGAGGAAAUCCAAACCAGUUGUUUUCUUAUCCAAAAUUAUGAAGGAAAGAACAUUAUGAGAUUCUAACUUAUUUUACAGACUUACACUAUUCAAACAAAACUGUAUUUUAAAAUUUUUCAUUGAUGGUUUUAGUAACCGCAAGCCAGAAUCAGAAAUCAGGUACAAUUCAGAUGAAUAAAGACUUACAAAUCAUUCCUCUACCGCCAAUGCG